UACGAAGGUGGCAAGCGUUACUCGGAAUUACUAGGCGUAAAGGGCAGGUAGGUGGUUUGAUAAGUCUGUUGUGAAAGCUCCCGGCUCAACUGGGAGAGGUCAACGGAUACUGUCAGGCUUGAGUAUAGGAGAGGUUACUGGAAUUCCCGGUGUAGCGGUGAAAUGCGCAGAGAUCGGGAGGAACACCAAUGGCGAAAGCAGGUAACUGGACUAUUACUGACACUCAACUGCGAAAGCUAGGGGAGCAAACAGG
rnacentral:rRNA from 1 species